AGAAAGCAUGUCUGAAAGAAGAAGGGAUUUACUCCUGUAAGGGCCCUUAAAGACUGGUUUGGCUCCUGCGUGGGAAUUUCAAAACAAAGAAAACUUCAGAAACAAACAAACAAGAAAGACAACAAAGACAACACUGAUGUGAUAAGGCCCUUCCCCAUCUCCCAGAUGUCUCUAUGAAGUCAUUCAUGGGAUAUUACACAGGCACCAUGCAUUUGCAGCACAAGAAUACUGAUACAUUAAUAAUACAAGCCCAACAAGUAAUGAUGUUUUUUGUUUGUUGACUAUACAACUUAACUGUAAGUGAAAGCAUGCAAAAAAGGGGAUGUGUUCUUCAGCGCAGGGACUGGCUCACUCAGGGCCUGGUUUUGUAUUCUUCAUGUUGACAGUAUUUAACAAAUAAUGAUGCUCAGUUAGAGCUACACUAUACUUCUCAACUCCAUUGCAAUCACACAGAUAAUGCUAUGCUCUCAUUUCAUACUGAGCAUGCUAACUGUAUUUUAAACAACUUUCAGAAGAGUUUUACUAAUUUUAAAUACACCUGCCAUUGCUCUCAUGAAAGUGUACUUCAAAAUAAAAAAGGAAGCAAUGACAGAGGCAUUAAAAUGCAGAGACAUUAUUCAUAUUAGCAGGGAAGAGGCUCAGUGCAAAUGCUAUACGGGAGUACUGUCACUCUGUUCUCUGCCUGCUCCUUUGUCAAUACACUCAGGCAUGGGGUAGCUAUUUGUCAUGAGGUGAAUUGUGGAACUCACCUACACUUGAACUUCCUCCACUUGCUUGUUGUGCUAAGUUUGACACGUUGCUGCCAAACAACAUCAUAUCAGCACUGCCCUGGAUGGCCCAUUGAGUCCCUGGCUUGGCCAGUUACUCUCCCUUGGCAACCAGUCAGUGGUAAGAGGUGGGUGCCUUCUUGGAGGCAGAUUCAGAGCAAGAGCCUAACUGUGAGGGCUUGCAGUCAUCACUCUGGCUCCAGAGAGAGGUAUUUACUACAAAACCUACCAACAAAUCCACUCCCACUCAUCUGUCUUCUACCCACUAAUACAGAGUACAACAGUUAACCUCAGAGUGAUGUCAUCUGUGACCCGACUGUACCACAUUUUCCAGGAAAUGUAAUGCAAGUCUUAGCCUGUGCCCUCUCAGAGCCAUGGAUAGAACAAUAUCCCCCUUCCCCUCAUUACACAUGCACACAUUGAAAAAAAAUGUGCAAACCUCCUAUUUAGAGGGACAGUAAAAAUACAAAGCACAUGAAACUUGAUUUGUGAAACCGUAGCUUAAGCUCUCCUUACCUAGAAGAGAGGAAUGAGGGAUGUGGGGAUCUGCUUGGUGGAUAGGGUACUUGGACUUACUUGCCUGCAAUGCAAGAGGAUCAUGUCUCAUUGGUGGGCUUACUGUACUACAGGUAUGUUUAAGCACCCAUGUGUUUAACAGCACUUACAGAAGCAAUUCUAAUAAAAAGCAGCAGUUUUAUGACAGUUAAGUCAUUGUCAAAUUUAUUUUUUGAAUCCUGCCAACUGCAACUUGCUCUCUCACCAACAUCUGCUGCUUUCAUCUUCAGAAUAAAAAUCCAAGCCCUGCAAGUCUAAUCACAUAACAGUUCCAACUCAAAUCUUCAUAUUAGUUAAGGUUUGCUCUUUUCCACACCGAAAAUUACUAUGUAAAAACAAAUCUGGAACAUCAAACUUAAAGAUGUGAAAGGAUCAAGGCUCUAUGCAACUUGAAACAUGUAGGCACAGAGGAACUAUUCAGUUAUCUUUUGCCUCCCUUGCUCUCUCCUUCUUCAUGUGGUUCAGCUUUGUGCUUCAAAGGCAAUUCAGGCUGUUUUAAAAUCUUCCCAAGCAGCACUGACAUGGAGGCUUAUAGGUGUAUAGGUGUAUCCUAUUUGUACUUUUUAAUUGGAAGUUAAAUUAUAAAGCUAUCUGUGAACGCUCAGUUCUGCAGUAGGCUUAAUGCAGAACUAGAGCGUGUGGUUUUCAUGGCAAGGCACCUCAGCUGUAGGGAACUUAAAGAGUCCAGUUCACCAGGACAUAGACAGGAUCCUCAUGCAUUUCAGGAGAUGGUAAUAAUUACAAUCAAUUUAUCCUAACAACACAGUUCAACCCUAGUAAAUCUCAGAACAGACACGUGCCACCAAGUCCCAGAUCAUUCUCUGUGGGAAUCAUCAAAUACUACAAAUCUAAACACUACAAUGCCAAGGGCAUAUACAUAGCUUAUACACAGCAAGCAUGCAUGGAAAGGGAAGACUGGGGGCAGGAGAAAAGAUCUUCCUUUUGAUUAAAAAAUAAAUAAAUUAGGAGAAUGCAGAAACACAAUGGUGUUUCACUGACCACAACUAACAGCAGAUAAGUGAAGGAACAGGAGGAUUGAAGAGAACCUCUGCAGCUGAAUUUUUAGAUGCUGCUGGAACAAAGGCACAGUGAAAACAAAACAUUCACCACCUCUUGGAGCUGGAGUUACACACUGCAUCCCAGCAGACAUCUGGGUGGUUGAAAUCCCCUGUCAGGAUGAGAGCUGGCAAGAGCAAUGCUUCCUGCAGCUGAAAAAGCAAGAAGGCCUCGUUAGCAGGCUUCCCUAGGUUAGGCAGCCUAUAGUAGAACCUGACCAUCAGUUGAAAUGGCAUAUACCAUAGAAUCAUAGAAUUGCUCAGGUUGGAAAAGACCUCAAAGUUCAUCAAGUCCAACCACAACCUAACCAUACCAUAACCUACCAUAACUAAUAACCCUCUGCUAAAUCAUGGGUUCCUGAGCACCAAAUCCAAACAGUUUUUAAACACAUGUAGGAAUGGUGACUCAACCACCUCCCUGGGAAGCCUAUUCCAGGGCCUAAGGUGAAAGAUUCUUUGUUCCUACCACGAUAACCUGCAGUAUUUUUUCCAAUUUCAUUAAUCCUUCUUUCAGGUCUCCUCUACACAGUCACCUCAGUUAAAAUGAGGGAAAAGCAAGUAGGAAUUCAUUAUUGAAAACCUCUUAGAUGCACUUGGAAGAUCUUGCAAAGCCCACAGAUCAGGUGAGUCCUCCUGUAAACUUGAUUACGAAGGGGAAAAUAAAGCAUAUUUUAAACAUCAAGGGCAACAUGGCAAUAUUGCUCCUAUGUUUUCAAAUUUUGAAUAACAAUACUGGUAAAUGGAGAGACAACUCGAACAUGCGCAAUGUGCUAUUAUACACACACCCAAGCACUAAUCAAAUUUUCUGCAGUCUCCCUCAGGUGGUUAAAGAGGGAAUACAACCUUUUUCUAACAUGAAUUUCUGCUGACUUCGCCAGAUGUCUAAAUUGUUCAAGUCUUACUAAAUAAAUAUUCUCUGCAAAAGUGACGUGAGGUGGGGGAGGUCUGCUAUUACUGUAGCCCCCCCCCAUAUCAUAUGAUAGUUCCAUAUCAGCUACCUGUAAUGCAGGUAAUAGAAGAAAACAAACAAAUUAAUUUCACAGACCUAAAUGAGAAAUGGAAAAGAAAUACAAACCAAAAUUCAAAACACAGAAAGCUUUACAGAAUGCCAAUAGCUUUCGCUAUUUGCUUCUACAGUGUUAUCCAACUUCCUCAAUACAUUAUUGCUAUGAAAUCCCACUGACUGGAAACAGGUGCUAUUUUGAAUACUGAGAAGGAUACUAAGUAUCCUGGGUCCACAUCAAGCUAGAAUACAAAGCAAGACAAUUCAGGAAAAUGCAGUGCUAGUAUUAGUUCAGUUGGAACACACAAGCAGAACAGACAGGAGAUGUGCUGUUUCUGCAGGUUUUUCUGGCUGUAUGCCCCAAAAAAUUGUUCAGGAAGAGAACAAGUUGUUAAGAGUUUCACUGAUGACAGAAAUUGUAAAGCCACAAUGAGAUUCUCACUUCUCAGAUCUGCCUGAGAAGCCCUUGAUAUCGUAAAUCCUUAUUUUUAAUAUAGAAUGUACAGAAAAUAAAUAAGCUUAAUACCAUUACAGUCUUUAAGGCUUAUUUUUUUUUUUAAUUUAAAAAGUUUGUCAAACAAGAUGAAUAUUUACAAAAUGUUUAGUAUUUCAGCUCUAGUACCAAAACCUGUUCACUACAGUACACAGAUAAAGAAAGUAGAAUAUACAAAUUUAAAAUAUAGAGUAUCAAGAAAAUCUAGGUGACCUGAUAAAAAUUACAGCAUUUCCCAAAUGGAAAGGUAAAACGUCAAACAGCAUGGCUUUAACUGAGCACACACUUCCAGUAAAUACAGUAGAGACAGACUCUGGAAAAUCUACACCAGUGUAGUAAUUGAUGCUAGAUCAAAGCCACCACUCACCUCUUGAAUCCCUACAUCCCUUGAAUAUAAACUGUACAUAUGAAAUUUACAGUGAUUUUCAAAAGCUCAUUCUCAAUCUCCAGAAAGAUGUUCUAAUGCCACACAAUUGAUGCAAUCUCUUUGUCUACGAGUUUUCCUACAUAACGGUUUAGUUUACCUGCCCAAAUGAUGAUAAAAAAUUCUUCUGUUGGACAAAAAGAAUACAAAUUCCUAAUAUUCAGAAGUCAAAUGCAAGAAAAGUCUUUUUUUUUUUU